GAUGAACGCUGGCGGCGUGCUUAACACAUGCAAGUCGAACGGAAAGGCCCAGCUUUCUGGGUACUCGAGUGGCGAACGGGUGUGUAACACGCGGGUGAACUGCCCCGCUCUCUGGGAUAAGCCUGGGAAACUGGGGCUAAUACCGGCUAUCACCAACUGUCGCAUGGUGGUUGGUGGAAAGCUUUUGCGGUGUGGGGUGGGCCCGCGGCCGAUCAGCUUGUUGGUGGGGUAAUGGCCUACCAAGGCGACGACCGGUAGCCGAACGGAGAGGGGGAUCGGCCACACGGGGAGUGAGACAGCGCCAAGAGGACUAAGGGAGGCAGCAGUCGGCAAUGGGAGGCAGCGGUGGAGAGCAUUGCCCAGCGGGCGCGAGCGUGAUGCAGAGACGCCGGGUGAGGGAAGACGGCCUUCGGGGUAUGAACCUCUUUCACCGGGGACGAAGCGUGAGUGACGGUACCUGGAGAAGAAGCACCGGCCAACUACGUG
rnacentral:rRNA from 1 species